UAGGGAAUCUUCGGCAAUGGGGGCAACCCUGACCGAGCAACACCGCGUGAGUGAAGAAGGGUCUCGGCUCGUAAAGCUCUGUUGUUAAAGAAGAACACGUAUGAGAGUAACUGUUCAUACGUUGACGGUAUUUAACCAGAAAGUCACGGCUAACUACGUGCCAGCAGCCGCGGUAAUACGUAGGUGGCAAGCGUUAUCCGGAUUUAUUGGGCGUAAAGAGAGUGCAGGCGGUUUUCUAAGUCUGAUGUGAAAGCCUUCGGCUUAACCGGAGAAGUGCAUCGGAAACUGGAUAACUUGAGUGCAGAAGAGGGUAGUGGAACUCCAUGUGUAGCGGUGGAAUGCGUAGAUAUAUGGAAGAACACCAGUGGCGAAGGCGGCUACCUGGUCUGCAACUGACGCUGAGACUCGAAAGCAUGGGUAGCGAACAGGAUUAGAUACCCUGGUAGUCCAUGCCGUAAACGAUGAGUGCUAGGUGUUGGAGGGUUUCCGCCCUUCAGUGCCGGAGCUAACGCAUUAAGCACUCCGCCUGGGGAGUACGACCGCAAGGUUG
rnacentral:rRNA from 1 species